GUUUAAGUAGUGUAAUAAGCACUUUUGGUUUUCGUCCUUACGGUGGGCAUCUAGCCCCUUAAACU
rnacentral:tRNA from 1 species